rnacentral:lncRNA from 1 species
CGGGGUGCUCGCCCCCUCAUCAAGUAGCUGCUGUCUUUGGGGAGCAGCCUCUAAACAAGACGCCCCUCUUCCGGGCGCCUGGGCCGGAGCCUGGCGCGCUCUGUGUGGCACCAAGGCUCAGAGGCGGGGCAGAGGGGGGCGCGGCUGGCGCGUGUCCUCCCGUGGGUCAGAGCCAAGCUUGGGGCCCAGCCGUGGACGGGGGAAGGGACUCGGAGAGGGACACCGGCCCCCCACCCCCACCCCGGGCCCUUUCUGGGCCUGAGCCGAGGACGCUGUGCUCAGAAGUCAUUCAGGUGGGGCUGUGCCCAAGGUCCAGGGCUCCUGCAGAGGGCAGGUCCGAGGGAGGAGGCGUUCUGGAGCAGUGUGCACAGAGGUGGGCGGCAGGAAAUAGCUGGGGAGAGCCAGGCAGAGGGCGGGGGCCUGCAGGAGGGAACGGGGCGGCGGAGGGGGGGCCGGAGGAGGUUUGCUUCUAAGGGAUUCUGGAAGGACAGAGUGGCUGGCAGGACGGGAGGGGCCAGAGGAGGCUGCACAGAGAGAAAGGGGCAGAGGUAGAGACAGAGAGAGGGGGGCCGGGGAAGGGGGGGGACGAGGAGGCCAGGGAGGCCUGCCAAAGGGGCUUCUGGCCCGUGAGGUGUCGCCUCCCAGCACAGCGGGGCGGCGGCUGGGAGCAGGGGUCUGGAAUUGGGGCUCCCUGCAGACGCAGUCCGAGACUGUGGGAAGACAAGCAGGCUCCAGCCGGGACCGGGGGCAUCGCGAGGCCCGGGGCGAAGGGUGCAGAUUCGGGUGCAGAGUCGAGAGUGGGACUGGUCAGCCGCGGCGAAGGGUCUGGGGUGCCCCUGGCGGUGACACGCGGUCUGGCUUCAGCUCCCGGCUCAGGCCACGCCGCCCUCACCCGCGUCCCCCAGGGUGGCCCGGGGUCGGCGCUGGGGUCGUCUGGUCAUCUGGGCAGGGCGGCUUUGGCGUGGCUAAGGGAGGGGAGGGGCGUGCCCACAGAGGUGCCCGGGUGGGGCCGCAGAGGGAGGGGAGGGGGGACAAGAGAGGACGAGGCCCAGGAAGGAAAGCUUGCCUCCUGAUGUCCGGCUUUCACGCCGCCCCAAAGACUCAGCCUGAAGCGGGCAGAGGUUCGAAGGGGGCCGUCUGGUUCACCUGGCGACUCCCUGCCCCUCCGGGGCCUCCGCCUCCCAGUCCAUACGGCGGCCGGUCCGGCUCUGAGGCUCCAUCGGAGAGGGGAAUGGGGGCUGCGGGCCGGAGGACCCCCUUGCAGCUCCUGGCCCCAUGCUGGGGCCACUGGAGCCCAGGGCCGCGGGGCUGCGUCUGCCCGGCCUCCCUCCUGGAGGAAACAGGCGACGG